GCGGUAAUUCCAGCUCCAAUAGCGUAUGCUAAAGCUGCUGCGGUUAAAAAGCUCGUAGUUGGAUCUCAGUUGCGGGCGGGUGGUGCAUCUACCCGAUGUGACAGCCCGAUCUGAACAUCUUGCCUUCUAUCCUCUGGUGUCCUUCACUGGAUGCCUUUGGGUGGUCGGUGCAUUUACUUUGAAAAAAUUGGAGUGCUCAACGCAGGCGAAGUGCCUGAACACUUAUGCAUGGAAUAAUAGAACAAGACCCCGUUUCUGUUCUGUUGGUUUUUGGAAAACGAGGUAAUGAUCAAGAGGGACUGACGGGGGCAUUCGUAUUGCGGCGCUAGAGGUGAAAUUCUUGGACCGUCGCAAGACGAACUACAGCGAAAGCAUUUGCCAAGAAUGUUUUCAUUGAUCAAGAACGAAAGUUAGAGGUUCGAAGGCGAUCAGAUACCGCCCUAGUUCUAACCAUAAACGAUGCCAACCAGCAAUCCGCCUGAGUUACUCCAAUGACUCUGCGGGCAGCUUCCGGGAAACCAAAGUAU
rnacentral:rRNA from 2 species